AAGAUCAGAACAAGAAGGAUCAACAUUCAAGCAUAACAGUAAACAUGCAUGGAUUAAAAGAGCAUUCACACAUAGUUCAGAUAAGCAGCAGGUGAUUCCAAUAAUUACAAUCCCAUGGGAAUCAGAAAUAAGAAAGGGAACAAAGAUAAUUAUUUUAGUCACAAAGACAACUACUCUACUGUACUAAUUCUAGCUAGAUGCCCUAGUUACCAAAAACCUUCACCAAAAAUAGGGGUAGAUGGAGCCUCCCUUCACAACAACUCAACCUUCUCAGUGACCUGGGGGGAGGGGGAGAAACAACAAAGAUACAACAACAUCUGCAUAGCACCAACAAGAACAUUAGAGAGAGCAGGGUAGAUGAUGAAAUAAUGGAUAAGAGAGGAGGGAGUGAGAACAUAUAAUGCGUAAAGAAGACGAACAUCCUGACCACAUACCUUCAACACCCUAGGGACAACCCCCAACCACCUGAAAAGGGAAGAUAUAGAUUAGAAAUGUGGUGGAGAAGCUAGUCAAUAGGAGAGAACCUGAGCUCACUAGAACCAAGGGAAGUUUAUAGAAAGAGCAACAACACAUCAACGCAAGGAUGGAGUUGAAAGAUAACCCACAAGAGGUACAAGAUGAACUACAAUUUAUUUCUUUUUUUAGAAAAGAGAUCAGUGCAUCCUAUUGAGAGCCUUUUUGGAGGUUCGACUUGUAUAUAUUUGAUAAAGAGUGUAGAAAAGAGAAAAGGGAUUAGUGGCACUGUUUACCAUAUGAAUUAAAAAAAAAGUGUCAAAAAUACCUGUGAACUAAGAAUUAAAAAUGCAACAAAUAUAUUCUUCGUUACAUUUUUGGCUUAAAAAUACCUUCGCUUGUUGGUUUUGGCUCAAAAUUUCCUUCCAACUAGUUAAAUAACUAAUAAGUUGUACCAUUUUUACUAAGGUUAUCCCAAAACAAAUAAAAAAUGAAUCAUUUUUCUCUGAAUCGAUUUGAAAUGUAGCAUGUAAGUCAAAUGUAGGAUUUCGUGGUCACUAAAAGAUAUUUACUAUUGUACCAAAAGGGUAUAGUUCCAUUAAAGUUUGUUGCAGCUUUUUGUUCUUUAUGUUAUGUUUGUUUCGUAGUGUUUUGCUCACAUUUCACUUGAAAGGUCGAAUUGCUAUUUCGAUAAAAUGCCUCAAAGACCAUCACUAUCUCAUUUAAAAUUGAUCUAAUUUGAAUCUUAUUUUUGCUUAGAAGCGAAGUUGACUCAUCUUAUUAGUGAAGUUCACAUUCUUAUUUGUUAUUUUUUUUUCCCACUAUGAGAUACCCACGUCAACUUCCA
rnacentral:lncRNA from 1 species